rnacentral:rRNA from 1 species
AUACGGAGGAUCCGAGCGUUAUCCGGAUUUAUUGGGUUUAAAGGGCGCGUAGGUGGACAGUUAAGUCAGUUGUGAAAGUUUGCGGCUCAACCGUAAAAUUGCAGUUGAUACUGGCUGUCUUGAGUACAGUAGAGGAGGGCGGAAUUCGUGGUGUAGCGGUGAAAUGCUUAGAUAUCACGAAGAACUCCGAUUGCGAAGGCAGCUCACUGGACUGCAACUGACACUGAUGCUCGAAAGUGUGGGUAUCAAACAGGAUUAGAUACCCUGGUAGUCCACACAGUAAACGAUGAAUACUCGCUGUUUGCGAUAUACAGUAAGCGGCCAAGCGAAAGCAUUAAGUAUUCCACCUGGGGAGUACGCCGGCAACGGUGAAACUCAAAUGAAUUGGCGGG